rnacentral:rRNA from 1 species
GACGAACGCUGGCGGCGUGCUUAACACAUGCAAGUCGAGCGGAAAGGCCCUGCUCUUGUGGGGUGCUCGAUUGGCGAACGGGUGAGUAACACGUGUGUAACCUGCCCUUGACUUUGGGAUAACUUCAGGAGACUGGGGCUAAUACCGGAUAGGAGCUCCUGCUGCAUGGUGUGGGUUGGAAAGUUUCGGCGGUUGGGGAUGGACUCGCAGCUUAUCAGCUGGUUGGUGGGGUAGUGGCUUACCAAGGCUUUGACGGGUAGCCGGCCUGAGAGGGUGACCGGCCACAUUGGGACUGCGAUACGGCCCAGACUCCUACGGGAGGCAGCAGUGGGGAAUAUUGCGCAAUGGGCGGAAGCCUGAUGCAGCAACGCCGCGUGCGGGAUGACGGCCUUCGGGUUGUAAACCGCUUUCGCCUGUGACGAAGCGUGAGUGACGGUAAUGGGUAAAGAAGCAACGGCUAACUACGUG